rnacentral:tRNA from 1 species
AGAGAGUUGGCAGAGUUGGUUUAUUGCACUUGUUUGCUAAACAAGCAGUCGAGAUAACUUGACUCAAGGGUUCGAAUCCCUUACUCUCUA